rnacentral:rRNA from 1 species
AUACGGAAGGUGCAAGCGUUUAAUCGGAAUCACUGGGCGUAAAGCGCUUCGUAGGUGGCUUUGUAAGUCAGGUGUGAAAGCCCCACGGCUCAACCGUGGAAUUGCACUUGAUACUGCAUUGCUUGAGUUCGGGAGAGGGUAGUGGAAUUCCAGGUGUAGGAGUGAAAUCCGUAGAGAUCUGGAGGAACACCAGUGGCGAAGGCGACUACCUGGACCGAUACUGACACUGAGGAGCGAAAGCGUGGGGAGC